AUUUUGAAUCGGAGACCCGCAUUUUCUUGCGAAAUGGAUGAAUUCAACUGACAUAGCGGUCGAUUGGCCCUGAAAGUAUUGUUACAUGAAGAUCGAUAGUUUGUGCAUUUCAUGACGAUACCCAGAUUAAAAGGUACAGCUGUUUUAUGGUCCACACUCCUGAGAGAGAGAUAGAGAGGACGCAAACGCCGGAAUGGAGUCUUUUAUUUUGAAAGAACUUCACCUGUCCAUCUCUCUCUAUCUCGAUCUCUCAGGCAAAUCCUCUCUCUCUCUUUCACUUGGAGUGAAGACACGUUCAGCGAAGCUUGCCUCGAACAAUAUUCUUCAAGUGCCAUUUCUCUCCUGAUGGCUCCUGCCAAGACCUUCUCCACUGCCUGUGGGAGCAAAAAAGAGAUGGUUACUCAUUAGACUAGCAGAAGCUGCAGAACGGCAACGCAAAAACUACCAGUUGAGAACACAUCUCCAUGCGCACGUUAAUGUGACUCUUAUUCUACUGAUGGUUUUAAACGUACUUUGGGUACUUGCUUCUUGGAUUUUUCAGUAACCUGUGAUUCCUCAACAGGUACUAAUGGUAAUUCGGUAGUAUUGUUAGCCUCUUUGUUGCAUUCGAGCUGAGGUGUUCUUGUCUUGCAAUAACUGCACAAGAAUUCUGUUGUAUUUUCCAGCAUUUCUGGCUCUUCCAGAAGAGUUUGUACACCCACGUCAACCUUCUCGACUGGCAGAAACAGCUUGAGAUCCACAGGUUUAAAUGAAAACCUAAGAGAAGAUAGCCUCAAAGCCGAACUCUGCUGGUGACUGUCGAUAAUUUGAAUACCACGAUGGAGGCUAGCUGCCAGGUUUUCGGUUGACAUGAGGGAAUUCAUAAUUGGUCGAGAGGAGAGAGCAUUGGAAGAACUAUUUCUCAGUGACUGUGCAAGAGAUGGCUUUGUUCCUGCUGUUAAUGUUGAUGAAUUGAUGUCCUUUGCAGCAUCUCUCCCAGAUGCUGUUAAUGUCGAUGAUGUUCUAAGGCUUUUCCUGCUAUUGUGAUCUACUCUGGGUGAGACGCUCAAUGGUGGAGACCGCAGGACUGGUGAUGACUCACAUGGUACAAUGCUAAGAGAAGUGGGAGAAUUCUGAGGUGGAUCUUCGACUGUAAUAUCCGGAGAAUCUCCAAGUGCUGGUUUAGAGUCCACCUGCAUAGAAGCUUUUUCCUCCACAGGCACUACACAUGUGGAGGGUUUUUCGUCCACAGGCCCUACACAUGUGGAAGCUUUUUUAUCCACCAGCUCUACAGGCUCUGCACAUGUGGAGGCUUUUUCGUCCACCAGCUCCACAGGCUCUACACGUGUGGAGGCUUUUUCGUCCACCGGCUCGUCAACUGAUCCUCCAUUAAGCAAACUACAGUCUGAGGACACCAAAAGCUUUUCCUCAACUGGUUGUCCCCCAGAACCACCGUCAAGUAAACCGGUUGUUGUAUGGACCAUAUGUUUUUCAUUGUCGUUACCUUCAUGAUCUGGGGGAUUUAGGAUAUCAGGACUGGGAAAAACUGGGGCAUUUGCAACAGCCUCUUCGUGGCCAGCAGUGAUUACGUGCUCAUUGACUUGGUCAGAAGCCAUUUCUGAUUGACAGUCUUCCAUAUUGACAUCAGCCUCUUCAAUGUCUUGAUUGCUGCCACAAACACUUGUAGGAAAAUCCUUCUCCUUUGAAGUUUUCAAUCCUUCACAGGCUGUUUCUGACAGGACAUGCAGCUUGUCCACAUCAUGAAACGCAGCUGAUUGCAAACCUACUUGAAGACAAAGCUUCUCAACAUCUUCCUCAUCAAUUUCCAUCUCCUCAUCACUGUCAUCUUCCACACGAGGCAAUGUUGCCGGACGAUUGAGACUCAACCUCAAAAGAUUCAAGCUCCUAUGUGCAUCCCAUCCGGUUGAAUAAACACCAUUGGACUUUAUUCUUUGAAGCUCAUCCUGUCAACCAUAUCAAAACACAGCAUAUUUACAUGUUUUAGGGUCAAUGAAAUUUCAAAAGCAAGAUUUGAUAUCAAAGAA